GAUACUGAGAAGAGAAAGAAGGCAGUUUCAAACUGGGAAAAACAAGGAUGGCCUUCAAGAAAACAAGAACAACAUCAUAAAACAACAACAACAAAAAAUCAACAUGGAGAAUGUACUUUUCUAUUGAACACGCAACUGCAGAUGGAGAAUAUCUCUAAUGUAUUAUAAAAGGGACACAGCAUGAGUUUACCCUCUCUCAGACAAUUGAACAGGAAUACUCAGCAAAGAUUUUCAAGAGUCCAUAACAACGCAAUGAGGAGAAGGCCUACUGCCGACUUGAAUAGCUUAUGUGGCUUCAGACGACAUUGUAGGGAGAUAUUUCUGACAGAUGAAACUGGAUUAUGGCUGCCUCAACCUAUGGAUCCAUCCAGAAUUAACUUAGCUCAUCUGGCUGGCCAGGAAGAGGAAGAGACUCCAGAGAAAAGACCAUAGGAGGACACAGCAAGAAGGCGGCCUUCUGCAAGUCAAGAGAGAGUCCUCAGGAGAAACCAACCCUUCCGGCACCUUGAUGUUGGACUUCCAGCCCCCAGAACUGUGAGGAAAUAAAUUUCUGUUGUUUAAGUCACCCAGUCUGUGGUAUUUUGUUAUGGCAGCCCUGGCAGACUAAUACAGAGAACCAUAGAGAAUUGUCUCUGGACAGUUCUGUCCCUGCCAUCAGGUAAUUUCCUCCAUGUGCAUUGAUCUAUACUUAGAAGAUGUGGGGACCCUCUGCAGAUCUCUGGAGUUCUGUCUUUGUUCAGCUCUUUCCUCUUUGAUAUACUGCCCUGAAAACUCUAGUUGCCUUGGUAUCCCCAGAUUCUAGCUCCAUCUCCUCAACUCAGGGUGACCUCCAGGGUCUGCCUAGGUUCAUCCAUCCCUGUGCUAGGGCCUCGAAUCUCUCUCUAAACAGUGAACUCGUAUAAUCAUAGGCUCACCCCAUUGAUUUUCCUUAUCUUGGGGAUCAUUGUCCUGUGC